rnacentral:rRNA from 1 species
UCGAGAAUCUUUCGCAAUGCCCGAAAGGGUGACGAAGCGACGCCGCGUGCGGGAGGAAGGCCUUCGGGUUGUAAACCGCUGUCGGGAGUUAAGAAAUGCAAGGAUGUUAAUAGCGUUCUUGCUUGACUAAGGCUCCGGAGGAAGCCACGGCUAACUCUGUGCCAGCAGCCGCGGUAAUACAGAGGCGGCAAGCGUUGUUCGGAAUUAUUGGGCGUAAAGAGCACGUAGGCGGCUGUGUAAGUCGGUUGUGAAAGCCUUCCGCUCAACGGAAGAACGGCAUCCGAUACUGCAUGGCUUGAGUGUGGGAGGGGAGAGUGGAACUUCUGGUGGAGCGGUGAAAUGCGUAGAUAUCAGAAGGAACACCGGCGGCGAAGGCGACUCUCUGGUCCAUAACUGACGCUGAGUGUGCGAAAGCUAGGGGAGCAAACGGGAUUAGAUACCCUUGUAGUCCCUGAGCGGGCUGGCAAGGCG